rnacentral:rRNA from 1 species
CACGGCGCACGGGUGCGUAACACGUGGGCAAUCUGCCCUCCGAUGGGGAAUAACCCCGCGAAAGCGGGGCUAAUUCCGCAUAACAUUCCCUGGACUCUGGUUCGGGGAUUCAAAGCAGCAAUGCGUCGGAGGAGGAGCCCGCGCCCGAUUAGCUAGUUGGUGAGGUAACGGCUCACCAAGGCAAUGAUCGGUAGCUGGUCUGAGAGGAUGGCCAGCCACACUGGAACUGAGACACGGUCCAGACUCCUACGGGAGGCAGCAGUGGGGAAUCUUGCGCAAUGGGCGAAAGCCUGACGCAGCGACGCCGCGUGGGGGAUGAAGCUUCUCGGAGUGUAAACCCCUUUCGACCGGGACGAAUGCCCGCAAGGGAGUGACGGUACCGGUAGAAGAAGCCCCGGCUAACUACGUGCCAGCAGCCGCGGUAAGACGUAGGGGGCCAGCGUUGUUCGGAAUUACUGGGUGUAAAGGGUUCGUAGGCGGUGUGGCAAGUCGGGAGUGAAAUUUCUGGGCUUAACCCAGAGGCUGCUUCCGAAACUGCUGUGCUCGAGUGUGGGAGAGGCGCGUGGAAUUGCAGGUGUAGCGGUGAAAUGCGUAGAUAUCUGCAGGAACACCCGUGGCGAAAGCGGCGCGCUGGACCACUACUGACGCUGAGGAACGAAAGCUAGGGGAGCAAACAGGAUUAGAUACCCUGGUAGUCCUAGCCCUAAACGAUCAGGACUUGGGGUGCCACCCGUUCGGGUGUCGUCCCGGAGCUAACGCGUUAAGUCCUGCACCUGGGGAGUACGGUCGCAAGACUGAAACUCAAAGGAAUUGACGGGGGCCCGCACAAGCGGUGGAACAUGUGGUUCAAUUCGA